GCACAUCUGAAACGAUUAACAAGCCAAGUAGAACAAGUACUAUGGAUUACCAGGGGUUCAUUAUCAACAUACUGCACAAGGGUGUAAGCUAUAAAACACCAACAGAUUUGCCUGGACUUUGGAAGAGAUUUCACGGCAUUCAGGACUUGGGAGCAACACUCUGAAACAGAGAGCCAGUGCUUCCUCCACACCCACUCUCUGCGCCAGGAGCCUCGCUGCAACUUCCUGUCAGUUUUACACACU